AUCUAUUUGAUGAGUCCAAAAUAGAACGAAACGCAAGUUCUGGAU
rfam:Schistosoma haematobium scaffold165_49, whole genome shotgun sequence.